AUUGAACGCUGGCGGCAUGCUUUACACAUGCGAGUCGAACGGUAACAGGCCGCAAGGUGCUGACGAGUGGCGCACGGGUGAGUAAUGCAUCGGAACGUGCCCAGUCGUGGGGGAUAACUACUCGAAAGAGUAGCUAAUACCGCAUACGAUCUAUGGAUGAAAGCGGGGGACCGUAAGGCCUCGCGCGAUUGGAGCGGCCGAUGUCAGAUUAGGUAGUUGGUGGGGUAAAGGCUCACCAAGCCAACGAUCUGUAGCUGGUCUGAGAGGACAACCAGCCACACUGGGACUGAGACACGGCCCAGACUCCUACGGGAGGCAGCAGUGGGGAAUUUUGGACAAUGGGCGCAAGCCUGAUCCAGCAAUGCCGCGUGCAGGAAGAAGGCCUUCGGGUUGUAAACUGCUUUUGUACGGAACGAAACGGCUCUGGUUAAUACCCGGGGCUAAUGACGGUACCGUAAGAAUAAGCACCGGCUAACUACGUG
rnacentral:rRNA from 1 species